rnacentral:rRNA from 1 species
UACGUGGGUGCGAGCGUUAAUCGGAAUUACUGGGCGUAAAGUGUGCGCAGGCGGCGUUGCAAGUCGAGUGUGAAAUCCCCGAGCUUAACUUGGGAAUUGCGCUCGAAACUACGAUGCUCGAGUGUGGCAGAGGAAGGUGGAAUUCCACGUGUAGCGGUGAAAUGCGUAGAUAUCUGGAGGAAUACCGGUGGCGAAGGCGGCAUCCUGGACCGGCAUUGACGCUGAGGAGCGAAAGCCAGGGGAGCAAACGGG